rnacentral:misc_RNA from 1 species
UUGAUUUAUUUGUUUGUGUCACUCAGAUAAUGCCGCUAUAACACACAAUGGUUUGGGGUCCUCCGGCGGGCGCCUUGGUCCGGGCCGCGAGGGCGCCGGGGCGUGUCCGCCGAAGCAACGAUAGGUAUGGUUCACAGGGGUUUGGGAGUUGUAAACUCGGUAAUGAUCCCUCCGCUGGUUCACCAACGGAGA